UAAAGAGUGCAUACAUCAUAGUUAUGGUUUCAACUGUGAUUUGAUGUCCUAUAAUAUUGAGUGUCCUAUAGUGUGUUGUUCUGAAACAGUCACAAAGAGGGCCUAAGAAGCUGAUGGAAUCCUCAUUCACCGCCGCUAAGGAGUUUGAGCGGGAUCGAAGAGGAGACGUCAGUUCUUCCUCCUCUGCUCAAUGCGGCCAUUCGCCAUGUCCCCCAACCCUGAACUCCACACUGCCACUCCGUGCUCAUUUUUUUCUGAAGGGGAAAUAUUCAUCUCCUUGUUGUUUUGUACCAUGGAUACUUUAGCAUCAUUCUCAUACUACUAGGAGUGUAGGUAAGGAGUCCACACACGAGUUUGCAAACACCAUUAAGCCUAUUUUGCUUGAUUAGUGCCCUGCAACACUUCAUAUGUUCAAGACAAAAUCCAUACCCAUGUCUAUUGUUGUAUGAUAUUAUUUGCAUUGACCGUCGCUGCUCUUCUUGAUUGCAGUCACUAACAUUGCAUUAAUCUAUGUGAUACAUUUAUUCAGGCGAUUCCCAUUUCUCAGUGAUGACGAUGUCCUGUACUCCUGUAUAUUUGGAUUCAACAAUAUGCCAUUAGAACCUAAGGAGGGCGUCCACCAUCCGGUGAAGCCUGCCCCCGCUCGCGUGGUCCCCCUCUGCGUCUCCUCCAUGUUUGGUCUCCCUCUACUGGAAGCACAUUCUUUCACGUCUCCUCUCACCCCAUACGAUGUGGGCAUGAUUCAGGAGGCGGGUAUUGGUGUUGGGAUUAGCGGCGCAGAAGGAAUGCAAGUUUGUUGCUGCUUCUCGCUACCAGUUUACAUGCUAUCCUGUUUUUACAAAAAAAAAGACUUGAUUACAAUUUAUGACAUGCUAAGUUAAAUCAUGCUACGUCUUGUCCGGACUUAAAAGGUACUCCAUGUUAUUUAAUAAAUGUAUCAUGUAAAAAUUAUUGGGUUUUGUCACUUCAUCCACUGACAGAGUAUGUUCUUUAAAAAUAAGGUUAAUGUGAGAAGUAGAAGUUCUAAUUAGAAGUUAGAACUAUUGAUGUCGGCCUUGAGGGGAAGCUUGAUGUCGUAAUAUUAGAAUGGAUAGGCUAUAUGUUUCUGUACGAGGCUUUUCAUUGCAUUUCAAUAUUCUCUAUCUUUUUUCAGUUCUAAAUUCUUCUUGUUUUUCCUAUAGCGUAUGCUGUCAAGCGUCCUAUUUGCAAGAGAUAAAUGGCUUACGCCCGAGGGGCUUAUUCUUCCUUAUCAUGGUAUGAUAUAAUUAUCAUACAAAAAUGUUACACUGCUUUUACAGGGUGUACCUCAUCUAUUUGCUUGUACAAUUCAUCUUACUACUGCUUUGACAAACAUUGGUCUGCUCUGCUUUGGUCUGUGCUUUAGGAUUCUGUUUCAUUGGGAGAAACAAAUGCCCUUGCUUACUUUUAUU